ensembl:lncRNA
UGGUGAUGGUGUGUAGUGGUAGUGUGUGGUGAUGGUGUGUAGUGGUAGUGUGUGGUGAUGGUGUAGUGGUAGUGUGUGGUGUUGGUGAUGGUGUGUAGUGGUAGUGUGUGGGGAUGGUGUGUAGUGGUAGUGUGUGGUGAUGGUGUGUAGUGGUAGUGUGUGGUGAUGGUGUGUAGUGGUAGUGUGGGGUGAUGGUGAUAGUGUGUAGUGGUAGUGUGUGGUGAUGGUGAUAGUGUGUAGUGGUACUGUGUGGUGAUGGUGUGUAGUGGUAGUGUGUGGUGAUGGUAUGUAGUGGUAGUGUGUGGUGAUGUUGAUGGUGUGUAGUGGUAGUGUGUGGUGAUGGUGUGUAGUGGUAGUGUGUGGUGAUGGUGUGUAGUGGUAGUGUGUGGUGUUGGUGAUGGUGUGUAGUGGUAGUGUGUGGUGAUGUUGUGUAGUUGUGUUGUGUGGUGAUGGUGUGUAGUGGUAGUGUGUGGUGAUGGUGUGUAGUGGUUGUGUGUGGUGAUGGUGUGUAGUGGUA